UUUGUGUUGAGAGUGUUUUGGAGAAGUUGAUAAAGAGCACGAUCGCGGACCAAAAAUACAAGACUGGAUGUAAACAAACCGCGUCGUCGACGAGAGAUGGACCGGACUAUGAGCUCAGCUGCGCUCGCUUGCAUAAACUGAAAAAGAAGACCAAACGAGCGAUUUCCUGGACUCAACAGACACAGUGAACUUUGCGCUGCAUUUCAAAGCUCCUCAGCCGCAACACCGAGAACCAGAGUUGAGGUCAAUGUACUGCUGAGAAAAGUGCAAGAUCUGUUUAACCAAAAAUAUAAGGAUGCCGGAGGUACUGGAAGGAUCCCCUGGUAAAUCAAGGCAUGACAGUUAAAGUUGAAGGACUGCCCAACAGCCUCAAAAAGCCAUCCUAUUAUGGAAGGAACCAGUUGGAGGCCAUUUUGCUAGCUGCUGAGGAGAUUUCAUUUGAAAUCAAUGCAGCACAAUGCAACUCCACUCACAAAGCAGAAGGAAUGUCAGAGGCGAAGGACGCAGAAGGUAUGCCGAGUUGUUUUUAUUUUAUCUUUAAAUAAAUAUAUAACAUUAAACUUGAGAAGCAUAGUUUACUAGAUAUGUAAUUGUGG